rnacentral:rRNA from 1 species
UACAGAGGUCUCAAGCGUUGUUCGGAUUCAUUGGGCGUAAAGGGUGUGUAGGUGGCGCCGUAAGUCGGGUGUGAAAUUUCGGAGCUUAACUCCGAAACUGCAUUCGAUACUGGAGAGCUUGAGUCCGGGAGAGGUGAGUGGAACUGCGAGUGUAGAGGUGAAAUUCGUAGAUAUUCGCAAGAACACCAGUGGCGAAGGCGGCUCACUGGCCCGGUACUGACGCUGAGGUGCGAAAGCGUGGGGAGCGAACAGG